UCUAUUCAUUUCUGUUUUCUUUUUUGACAGGAUAUUCACCUUUCUGUUAGAAUUUAGUAGUACGAGUAUUUGUAACUCAUUCAAGGAAAACUUUGAGCUUGAAGACAAUUUCAACGGCUACAUUUAUGCAUGCAAGGCAAGUGUUUCAAUUUACACUAAUAAUUUACAAUAAUAUAUAUUUAAUGAUUCGACUAUAAAAUAAAUGUGGACCUCUAGCUUAAAACAGACCAAAUGCUUACAUGUUUAUGGUCUAUUUCUUCUCUCUUUACAUGUCAACUAAUGUAUCAAAAGUAAAUCUAAAAAGGAAACAAAAACCAAUAAGGCAUAUUAGGAGACUUUUGGCCAAAGGAAUGUCAUCGGAGACCUUAAACAUGAAAAGGCUACCAAACUUCAGAAAACGUAUUUGUCUUCACUCCUUUUCUUCAUCACUGACUGAGUAGAAUGUUGAGGAUUUUUCUGCAUUAAAACUAUAUAUAUAACAGAUAUUUAUAAACACCAUUUUCCUUACAACCUUGCAUAUCAUAUUAGCAAACAAAUUUCUUCAUCCAUCAUUAGUAAAUUUUAUUUCAAUAAAGCACAUUUCCUUGUUAUCCAUUCUGACAGAAGCAUUCCAAAGACAAUUACAUAUCAGCCACCAAAACAAAUCUGAAACUGAAAGUAAAAAUCAUCAACAUAAAAAGCAAGAGAUUGACCGCCAUUGAUACCUUUCUCGUUCUUGAAUAAUUGAGGAGAGGGCGAUCAAGAUGUGACCUAAAAAUUGGAAAAAGCGUCAUGCAGAAGCUCAUAAUUUUACAGGUAGAGUUCUGCAGCACUUGACAACCUCUUUAAGCCUUGUUUGCUCACCGGAGUUUCAAUCACAUCUGUAUUGCUUGAAAAAUCACCAUAUUACAAUGCUCCGAUAACCAAAUAUUAUCAGAAAAAUAUACAUAUAUACAUGCCUAAAUACAAACGAAAAUAAUGGGUUAUAGCACAGGUAUUACCACUAUCGGAUCCUUAGCAGACUCACUACAAAGUAGCAAACAUUUUCAAUUUGAUCUCCAAAAUUCUGAACCGAACAUUGUAGGUAGCAUAACAGCUAGCCCCCUCAACAAAAAAAAAAUGGUGUAUUAAAAUCAGAAAACGGUAGUAACAACGCAGGUGAUGAUAAAAAAAAAAAUUAUACUUGCAUGCUCAAUGGUAUAACACAUCAACAGGGUAAAUUAAGUUUUAGUAAGUAAGAUUAUAAAUUUACAAUAGUAAAUUAAUCAGCUGUCUCUUAGAAUGCUUGAAAGUAGUAUGGCUGCACGGAGAAACAAAGCGAUACAACGAUGAAACUAAUAACGGAGACUUUGCAAAUUUAUUUAAGUAUAUAGAUGCUUAUAGUAUGGUGUGUUUGUUUCAACGAAAUAAAUUACAUUCAUUGGAAUGACAUUUCUAGGAAUAAUAUUUCAAUGAAUAACAUUCUUACUCAUGUGUUUGAUAAAAAUUUAAAUUUUCUAAAAAUGUUUGAGAAAUUAUUUAAUUAAAAAAAUAAAUAUGAGUGGUGGUGAGAAUUUAUAGUAAGUUGAGUUUUUUUUUUUUUUUAUUCUCGUAGGAAUGUAAGA
rnacentral:lncRNA from 1 species